rnacentral:rRNA from 1 species
GACAGAGGGGGCAAGCGUUGCUCGGAAUCACUGGGCGUAAAGCGCACGUAGGCGGGUUCUUAAGUCAGGGGUGAAAUCCUGGAGCUCAACUCCAGAACUGCCUUUGAUACUGGGAAUCUCGAGUCCGGGAGAGGUGAGUGGAACUGCGAGUGUAGAGGUGAAAUUCGUAGAUAUUCGCAAGAACACCAGUGGCGAAGGCGGCUCACUGGCCCGGUACUGACGCUGAGGUGCGAAAGCGUGGGGAGCAAACAGG